rnacentral:rRNA from 1 species
UACGGAGGGUGCAAGCGUGUCCGGAUUUAUUGGGUUUAAAGGGUGCGUAGGCGGUUCUUUAAGUCAGUGGUGAAAGCCUCCAGCUUAACUGGAGAAAUGCCAUUGAUACUGAAGAACUUGAGUACAGACGAGGUAGGCGGAAUUGACAGUGUAGCGGUGAAAUGCAUAGAUAUUGUCAAGAACACCGAUUGCGAAGGCAGCUUACUAGACUGUAACUGACGCUGAGGCACGAAAGUGCGGGGAUCAAACAGG